AAUUAAUGAACUUGAAUAUAAGUAUAUGUUUUGAAUACAUAAUAAAGAAAUAAAAAUUUCUAUUAAUUU
rnacentral:tRNA from 1 species